GAUGAACGCUGGCGGCGUGCCUAACACAUGCAAGUCGAGCGAAUGGAUUAAGAGCUUGCUCUUAUGAAGUUAGCGGCGGACGGGUGAGUAACACGUGGGUAACCUGCCCAUAAGACUGGGAUAACUCCGGGAAACCGGGGCUAAUACCGGAUAACAUUUUGAACCGCAUGGUUCGAAAUUGAAAGGCGGCUUCGGCUGUCACUUAUGGAUGGACCCGCGUCGCAUUAGCUAGUUGGUGAGGUAACGGCUCACCAAGGCAACGAUGCGUAGCCGACCUGAGAGGGUGAUCGGCCACACUGGGACUGAGACACGGCCCAGACUCCUACGGGAGGCAGCAGUAGGGAAUCUUCCGCAAUGGACGAAAGUCUGACGGAGCAACGCCGCGUGAGUGAUGAAGGCUUUCUGAUCGUAAAACUCUGUUGUUAGGGAAGAACAAGUGCUAGUUGAAUAAGCUGGCACCUUGACGGUACCUAACCAGAAAGCCACGGCUAACUACGUGCCAGCCGCCGCGGUAA
rnacentral:rRNA from 1 species